rnacentral:rRNA from 1 species
CCCCUAGUAACUGCGAGUGAAGCGGGAAAAGCUCAAAUUUAAAAUCUGGCGGUCUUUGGCCGUCCGAGUUGUAGUCUGGAGAAGUGCUUUCCGCGCUGGACCGUGUACAAGUCUCUUGGAACAGAGCAUCAUAGAGGGUGAGAAUCCCGUCUUUGACACGGACUACCAGUGCUUUGUGAUGCGCUCUCAAAGAGUCGAGUUGUUUGGGAAUGCAGCUCAAAAUGGGUGGUAAAUUCCAUCUAAAGCUAAAUAUUGGCGAGAGACCGAUAGCGAACAAGUACCGUGAGGGAAAGAUGAAAAGCACUUUGGAAAGAGAGUUAAACAGUACGUGAAAUUGCUGAAAGGGAAACGCUUGAAGUCAGUCGCGUUGGCCAGGACUCAGCCUUGCUUUUUGGCUUGGUGCAUUUUCUGGUUGACGGGCCCAGCAUCGAUUUUGACUGUCGGAAAAAGGCUGGGGGAAUGUGGCACCUUUGGGUGUGUUAUAGCUCUCAGUCACAUACGGCAGUUGGGAUCGAGGACCGCAGCACGCCUUUAUGGCCGGGGUUCGCCCACGUUCGUGCUUAGGAUGCUGGCGUAAUGGCUUUAAACGACCCGUCUUGAAACACGGACCAAGGAGUCUAACAUGCCUGCGAGUGUUUGGGUGGAAAACCCGAGCGCGUAAUGAAAGUGAAAGUUGAGAUCCCUGUCAUGGGGAGCAUCGACGCCCGGACCUGAACUUCGGUGAUGGCUCUGCGGUAGAGCAUGUAUGUUGGGACCCGAAAGAUGGUGAACUAUGCCUGAAUAGGGUGAAGCCAGAGGAAACUCUGGUGGAGGCUCGUAGCGAUUCUGACGUGCAAAUCGAUCGUCAAAUUUGGGUAUAGGGGCGAAAGACUAAUCGAACCAUC